rnacentral:rRNA from 1 species
UACGUAGGGGGCAAGCGUUGUCCGGAUUUAUUGGGCGUAAAGAGCGUGUAGGCGGCCAGGUAGGUCAGCUGUGAAAACUCGAGGCUCAACCUCGAGACGUCGGUUGAAACCACCUGGCUAGAGUCCGGAAGAGGAUAGUGGAAUUCCUGGUGUAGCGGUGAAAUGCGCAGAUAUCAGGAAGAACACCCGUGGCGAAGGCGGCUCUCUGGGACGGUAUUGACGCUGAGACGCGAAAGCGUGGGGAGCGAACAGG